rnacentral:rRNA from 1 species
UACGUAGGGUGCGAGCGUUAAUCGGAAUUACUGGGCGUAAAGCGUGCGCAGGCGGUUUGUUAAGACAGAUGUGAAAUCCCCGGGCUUAACCUGGGAACUGCAUUUGUGACUGGCAAGCUAGAGUAUGGCAGAGGGGGUAGAAUUCCACGUGUAGCAGUGAAAUGCGUAGAGAUGUGGAGGAAUACCGAUGGCGAAGGCAGCCCCCUGGGCCAAUACUGACGCUCAUGCACGAAAGCAUGGGGGAGCGAACGGG